AACGAACGCUGGCGGCAUGCCUAACACAUGCAAGUCGAACGAGACCUUCGGGUCUAGUGGCGCACGGGUGCGUCACGCGUGGGAACCUGCCCUUAGGUUCGGCAUACCUCCCCGAAAGGGGUGCUAAUCCCGGUUAAUGUCUUCGGACCAAAGAUUUAUCGCCUUUGGUUGGGUCCGCGUUGGAUUAGCUAGUUGGUAGGGUAAAAGCCGACCAAGGCGACGAUCCAUAGCUGGUCUGAGAGGAUGAUCAGCCACACUGGGACUGAGACACGGCCCAGACUCCUACGGGAGGCAGCAGUGGGGAAUAUUAGACAAUGAGCUAAAGCCUGAUCCAGCAAUGCCGCGUGAGUGAUGAAGGCCUUAGGGUUGUAAAGCUCUUUUACCCGGGAUGAUAAUGACAGUACCGGGAGAAUAAGCACCGGCUAACUCCGUG
rnacentral:rRNA from 1 species